CCUACGGGGGGCAGCAGUGGGGAAUAUUGGGCAAUGGGCGCAAUCCUGACCCAGCAACGCCGCGUGAAGGAAGAGGGCUUUCGGGUUGUAAACUUCUUUUGACAGGGAAGAGUAGAAGACGGUACCUGUCGAAUAAGCUACGGCUAACCACGUGCCAGCAGCCGCGGUAAUACGUAGGUGGCAAGCGUUGUCCGGAUUUACUGGGUGUAAAGGGCGUGUAGCCGGGUUGACAAGUCAGAUGUGAAAUCCUGCGGCUUAACCGCAGAACUGCAUUUGAAACUGUGGAUCUUGAGUACUGGAGAGGCAGACGGAAUUCCUAGUGUAGCGGUGAAAUGCGGAGAUAUUAGGAGGAACACCAGUGGCGAAGGCAGUCUGCUGGACAGCAACUGACGGUGAGGCGCGAAAGCGUGGGGAGCAAACAGGAUUAGAUACCCCUGUAGUC
rnacentral:rRNA from 1 species